UACGUAGGGGGCAAGCGUUGUCCGGAUUUACUGGGUUUAAAGGGUGCGUAGGCGGACUUUUAAGUCAGUGGUGAAAGCCUGUAGCUUAACUAUAGAAUUGCCAUUGAAACUGAAAGUCUCGAGUGUGGUUGAGGUAACUGGAAUAUGUCAUGUAGCGGUGAAAUGCUUAGAUAUGACAUAGAACAUCGAUUGCGAAGGCAGCUCGCUACGCUAUUAUUGACACUGAGGCACGAAAGCGUGGGGAUCAAACAGG
rnacentral:rRNA from 1 species